CUAGAAUAUAAAAUACAGAGAACGUGCCCGAUCUUGUCUGAUCUUGGAAGUUAAGCAGGGUCAGAUCUGGUUGGUACUUGGGUAGGAGAAUAUAAAGUACAAAAGGAAAUGUUAUAUU
rnacentral:rRNA from 1 species